rnacentral:rRNA from 1 species
CCUACGGGAGGCAGCAGUGAGGAAUCUUGGUCAAUGGCCGUAAGGCUGAACCAGCCAAGUAGCGUGAGGGAAGACUGCCCUAUGGGUUGUAAACCUCUUUUAUAAGGGAAUAAAGUGCGGGACGUGUCCCGUUUUGUAUGUACCUUAUGAAUAAGGAUCGGCUAACUCCGUGCCAGCAGCCGCGGUAAUACGGAGGAUGCGAGCGUUAUCCGGAUUUAUUGGGUUUAAAGGGUGCGCAGGCGGAGGUGCAAGUCAGUGGUCAAAUUGCGGGGCUCAACCCCGUACUGCCGUUGAAACUGCAUCCCUUGAGUGCGCGAGAAGUAUGCGGAAUGCGUGGUGUAGCGGUGAAAUGCAUAGAUAGCACGCAGAACUCCGAUUGCGAAGGCAGCAUACCGGCGCGCAACUGACGCUCAUGCACGAAAGCGUGGGUAUCGAACAGGAUUAGAUACCCCAGUAGUC